UCCCCCGUGGUACGCUGGUUUGCCACCCUGACUUUGAAUCAGGAACACGUAGGUUCGAUCCCUGCCGGGGGAGC
rnacentral:tRNA from 1 species